rnacentral:tRNA from 1 species
GCACGCGUCAUCUAAUCGAUAGGAUGCUGGUUUUCUAAACCGGUCGGUGUAGGUUCAAAUCCUGCCGUGUGCA